rnacentral:rRNA from 1 species
AUUGAACGCUGGCGGCAGGCUUAACACAUGCAAGUCGAACGAGUGGCGUACGGGUGAGUAAUGCUUUGGCAUCUAGCUUCUGGCGGGGGAUCACUACGGGAAACUGUAGCUAAUACCGCGUACCAUAGGCUGAGCCCAAGUGGGAUUAGGUAGGUGGUGAGGUAAAGGCUAACCAAGACGACGAUCUUUUGCUGGUCUGAGAGGAUGACCAGCCACACUGGAACUGAGACACGGGCCAGACUCGUACGGGAGGCAGCAGUGGGGAAGAUUGCAAAAUGGGCGAAAGCCUGAUGCAGCCAUGCCGCGUGUGUGAAGAAGGCCUUCGGGUUGUAAAGCACUUUCAGCGAGGAGGCGUUACUCGCAGAAGAAGCACCGGCUAACUCCGUGCCAGCAGCCGCGGUAAUAC